AUACGGAGGAUGCGAGCGUUAUCCGGAUUUAUUGGGUUUAAAGGGAGCGUAGGUGGGAUAUUAAGUCAGCUGUGAAAGUUUGGGGCUCAACCUUAAAAUUGCAGUUGAUACUGGUUUCCUUGAGUACGGUAUAGGUGGGCGGAAUUCGUGGUGUAGCGGUGAAAUGCUUAGAUAUCACGAGGAACUCCGAUCGCGAAGGCAGCUCACCGGGCCGGAACUGACACUGAUGCUCGAAAGUGCGGGUAUCAAACAGGAUUAGAUACCCUGGUAGUCCGCACAGUAAACGAUGAAUACUCGCUGUUUGCGAUACACUGUAAGCGGCCAAGCGAAAGCGAUAAGUUAUCCACCUGGGGAGUACGUUCGCAAGAAUGAAACUUAAAGGAAUUGACGGGG
rnacentral:rRNA from 1 species